UUGUGACCGUUGUAACGGGC
rnacentral:miRNA from 1 species